rnacentral:rRNA from 3 species
UACGAAGGGGGCUAGCGUUGUUCGGAUUUACUGGGCGUAAAGCGCACGUAGGCGGAUCUUUAAGUCAGAGGUGAAAUCCCAAGGCUCAACCUUGGAACUGCCUUUGAUACUGGGGAUCUUGAGUCCGGGAGAGGUGAGUGGAACUGCGAGUGUAGAGGUGAAAUUCGUAGAUAUUCGCAAGAACACCAGUGGCGAAGGCGGCUCACUGGCCCGGUACUGACGCUGAGGUGCGAAAGCGUGGGGAGCAAACAGG